GACAGAGGUGGCAAGCGUUGUUCGGAUUCAUUGGGCGUAAAGGGUGCGUAGGCGGCGCGGUAAGUCGGGUGUGAAAUCUCGGAGCUUAACUCCGAAACUGCAUUCGAUACUGCCGUGCUUGAGGACUGGAGAGGAGACUGGAAUUUACGGUGUAGCGGUGAAAUGCGUAGAUAUCGUAAGGAAGACCAGUGGCGAAGGCGGGUCUCUGGACAGUUCCUGACGCUGAGGCACGAAGGUCAGGGGAGCAAACGGG
rnacentral:rRNA from 1 species